rnacentral:rRNA from 9 species
GGGUUGUGAGGUUAAGCGACCAAGCGUACACGGUGGAUGCCCUGGCAGUCAGAGGCGAUGAAGGACGUGCUAAUCUGCGAAAAGCGCCGGUAAGGUGAUAUGAACCGUUAUAACCGGCG